rnacentral:misc_RNA from 1 species
UACGUAGGGUGCGAGCGUUAUCCGGAUUUACUGGGCGUAAAGGGUUUCGCAGGCGGAUUAUUAAGUCAAGUCUUAAAGACCGUUGCUCAACUACGGGAAUGGACUUGAUACUGGUAAUCUUGAGGAUGUCAGGGGAGAUUGGAAUUCUCGGUGGAGGGGUGAAAUCCGUUGAUAUCGAGAGGAACGCCAAUGGCGAAAGCAGAUCUCUGGGGCAUUCCUGACGCUCAGGUACGAAAGCUAGGGUAGCAAACGGG